UACGUAGGGACCGAGCGUUAUCCGGAUUUACUGGGCGUAAAGAGCGCGCAGGCGGUCGUACAAGUCGCGUGUGAAAGCCCCUGGCUCAACUGGGGAGGGUCACGCGAUACUGUUCGACUUGAAGGCAGGAGAGGGAAGUGGAAUUCCCGGUGUAGUGGUGAAAUGCGUAGAUAUCGGGAGGAACACCAGUGGCGAAGGCGACUUCCUGGCCUGUUCUUGACGCUGAGGCGCGAAAGCUAGGGUAGCAAACGGG
rnacentral:rRNA from 1 species